AUUGCCAAUGAGCUCCUGCAAACCGAGAAGGCCUAUGUUUCCAGGCUUCAUCUCCUGGAUCAGGUAUUCUGUGCCCGGCUGCUGGAAGAAGCUCGGAAUCGCAGUUCCUUCCCCGCAGAUGUUGUCCAAGGCAUCUUCUCUAACAUCUGCUCGAUCUAUUGCUUCCACCAGCAGUUCCUGCUGCCUGAGCUAGAGAAGCGCAUGGAGGAAUGGUACCGCUACCCACGCAUUGGUGACAUCCUUCAGAAAUUGGCACCCUUCCUCAAGAUGUAUGGCGAGUAUGUGAAAAACUUCGACAGGGCUGUAGAGCUGGUCAAUACAUGAACAGAGCGCUCUACUCAGUUUAAAGUCAUCAUCCAUGAAGUACAGAAAGAGGAAGCCUGUGGAAACCUGACCUUGCAGCACCACAUGUUGGAGCCCGUGCAGUGUAUCCCCCGCUAUGAGCUUCUUCUCAAGGACUAUCUUUUAAAGCUGCCUCAUGGCUCCCCGGACAGCAAGGAUGCCCAGAAGUCUUUGGAGCUGAUAGCCACAGCAGCAGAACACUCUAAUGCUGCCAUCUGUAAAAUGGAACGAAUUCACAAGCUGCUGAAGGUCUAUGAGCUGCUAGGGGGUGAGGAGGACAUUGUCAGUCCCACCAAAGAGCUCAUAAAAGAAGGUCAUAUCCUUAAACUGUCAGCAAAGAAUGGGACCACACAAGAUCGAUACCUCAUAUUAUUCAACGACCGCCUCCUUUACUGCGUGCCCAGGCUGCGGCUCCUUGGCCAGAAGUUUAGCGUGUGGGCACGUAUUGAUGUAGAUGGCAUGGAGCUAAAGGAGAGCUCCAACCUCAACAUGCCUCGGACCUUCCUGGUGUCAGGAAAGCAGCGCUCUCUCGAACUCCAGGCCAGGACUGAGGAAGAGAAGAAAGACUGGGUCCAGGCCAUCAAUUCCACCCUCCUGAAGCAUGAACAGACCCUGGAGACUUUCAAACUGUUGAAC